rnacentral:rRNA from 1 species
UACGUAGGGGGCAAGCGUUGUCCGGAAUCAUUGGGCGUAAAGCGCGUGUAGGCGGCUCGGUAAGUCCGCUCUGAAAGUCCGGGGCUCAACCCCGGGAGGCGGGUGGAUACUGUCGAGCUCGAGUCCGGAAGAGGCGAGUGGAAUUCCUGGUGUAGCGGUGAAAUGCGUAGAGAUGUGGAGGAACACCAGUGGCGAAGGCGGCUUUCUGGUCUGUAACUGACGCUGAGGCGCGAAAGCGUGGGGAGCAAACAGG